UCAAUUCGUACGACCUCCUCACAUUCGCCCUCAUGGCUUUUAACGGCGUUAUCAACACUUUCAAUAACGUUAACGACAACAACAACAACAACGUCAAUGCUGACAACACUGCAGACGCCACUUCGAACCAGCUGAACAGCAACAGCGACUCGAAGUCCACCGUUAUAAUCAUCGUGCCUGCUGGACGCAAGAAGAAAAAAGACACGUCCAUGAGCGCAGAUCUCCACAACGCCAUUCAAGAUGUCUCGGACGCCUUGUACUACGUCAAUCGACGCGAUUCUGACGACCAGCUGCUGUGUGAAGUGGAGCUAAAAGUUUGCUUAUACGUUUGUCAGGCUUAUUUCAAUUCCGGCGACGCUAUUUUGAAUUACUCGCCUUCCCUUACAGAGUUUAUGCUAAGGGUUGGUCUUCCUCUAAAUGAAACUCGGUGUCUCGGUGGGUAUGCGAAAUGCAAAGAACUUCGAAAACGGCCUUCUUAAUUGCAUGCGAGCUAUGAAAAUGUAAUCAAGUGCUUUGAAAUUUUGCAAAAUUGUCUGUGGAAAUGUGAUGAAUGAAGUAAUGAGUCUUUAGAUCAUAAAUUAAGAAUCUACUAUGCGCCUUUUCAACCACUAUAGCUGAGCAGAGGAACGCCAAGAUAAAAAUCUCGUCAGACUGUAAAUGGACAAUUUAGAUGCGAAACAGAAGGAACGAUUGAAAUGUUGUAAUGAAUAACAAAGUUAAUCAAUUAUAUUCAUGUAAAUUUACAUAUCUACGACUCUGGUCAUCGACGCCAAGGGAUAAUGAGGGACGUGAAGUGAGUGACAAUAUGGUGGAAGUUAGAUGAAAUAAUAUAAAAUAACAAAGUAUCUUGAAAGAGUGAUACCACGGACAACUCAAGAAGUUGUCUACUGAUAACUGAUAUUUCCAGUUUUUUAAGUCCUGAUGGGAUUAGUGUCUGCUUAAAUAGACAUUGGUUUCUUGAGAGUUACGGAUACACUUCUAUAGACCAGUAGGUAUAAUAUAACACCGAAAGUGAUGCACUGGAGAAUUGACGUCAUUAAAUAGUCUUGCAGUGGAGAAAGAAGUCGGCCUCUCUCCUUCAAGAUUUGCAGAUCAGUAGCAGAUCCGCCAGAGACGGUGGCUACGGAGGAGGAUGUGGUGGCUUCGAAGUGUUCGCCUUCUUGGCAUUCUUGCUGGCCCUCCUGGACCUGAUUCUGGACCUCAAUAACAUGAACGCUGGAGGGGGAGGGGGAGCUGGAGGGGGCGGUCGGAGAUCCCUGGCUAAGCGAGACAUCCAGGACGCCGCCGUGGGAGGUCCCCAGCUUUGCAAGCCCGAAUUAUCAUUAUUAGACUUCCACGAAGGCGUGAGGGCCGUCGAGGCGCUGGUAACGGGCGUCUUGCAGGCCGUUCGUACCGCCCCGGCCUGCGACCGUUACCAUCCUACGCGGCCGUU